rnacentral:rRNA from 1 species
UAACGGCUCACCAAGGCGACGAUCAGUAGCUGGUCUGAGAGGAUGAUCAGCCACAUUGGGACUGAGACACGGCCCAAACUCCUACGGGAGGCAGCAGUGGGGAAUAUUGGACAAUGGGCGCAAGCCUGAUCCAGCCAUGCCGCGUGAGUGAUGAAGGCCCUAGGGUUGUAAAGCUCUUUUGUGCGGGAAGAUAAUGACGGUACCGCAAGAAUAAGCCCCGGCUAACUUCGUGCCAGCAGCCGCGGUAAUACGAAGGGGGCUAGCGUUGCUCGGAAUCACUGGGCGUAAAGGGUGCGUAGGCGGGUCUUUAAGUCAGGGGUGAAAUAAAAAGAAAUCAACUCCAGAACUGCCUUUGAUACUGAGGAUCUUGAGUUCGGGAGAGGUGAGUGGAACUGCGAGUGUAGAGGUGAAAUU